CCUACGGGAGGCAGCAGUGGGGAAUCUUGCGCAAUGGGCGAAAGCCUGACGCAGCCAUGCCGCGUGAAUGAUGAAGGUCUUAGGAUUGUAAAAUUCUUUCACCGGGGACGAUAAUGACGGUACCCGGAGAAGAAGCCCCGGCUAACUUCGUGCCAGCAGCCGCGGUAAUACGAAGGGGGCUAGCGUUGCUCGGAAUUACUGGGCGUAAAGGGAGCGUAGGCGGAUAGUUUAGUCAGAGGUGAAAGCCCAGGGCUCAACCUUGGAAUUGCCUUUGAUACUGGCUAUCUUGAGUGUGGGAGAGGUAUGUGGAACUCCGAGUGUAGAGGUGAAAUUCGUAGAUAUUCGGAAGAACACCAGUGGCGAAGGCGACAUACUGGCCCAUUACUGACGCUGAGGCUCGAAAGCGUGGGGAGCAAACAGGAUUAGAUACCCUGGUAGUCCACGCUGUAAACGAUGAGUGCUAGUUGUCGGCAGCAUGCUGUCGGUGACGCAGCUACGCAUAAGACACUCCGCCGUCGGGGAGGUACGGUCGCGAAGAAUUAAACUACAAUAGAAGUUAGACGGCGUGAGACGUGCCGACGGACGACGACGAGGGAGGUUAGG
rnacentral:rRNA from 1 species